rnacentral:rRNA from 1 species
GUUUACAGCCAUACCACCCUGAACGUGACCAGUCUUGUCUGAUCUCAGAAGCUAAGCAAGGGUAGUUCUGGUUAGUGUUAGGCCUGAAAAGGGAGAUUUAAAGA